GGAGAGAUGGCCGAGUGGCUUAAGGCGGCGGUUUGCUAAACCGCUGUGCAGUGUAAACUGCACCGGGGGUUCGAAUCCCCCUUUCUCCGCCA
rnacentral:tRNA from 1 species